GACAUUGCCAGGAAAAGAUGAAUAAGCAAUUUUAGAAAAUGUCUGUUUCAGAGUGUUGAACCAUGUGUUCAUUCUUGACAGGAAGCAAACUGCAAGCUUCUUGAAAUCCAUUAGAAAACCUGAAUUCGCUACAUUAUCCGUCCAUUACAAUGUGUCCCUGGGCAGAGUUCCCCAAAUUAUUACAGCUCUCGAAGGAAUACUCCAAUUUGUCAAGCUCCAGAACAGGGCUCACAACAUCAAAGAAAGGGCACAGAUCAUGGGCAGGAUCUUAUUUCUAGCAUCCUAUCACCAAUGAAGAGGAGGUGCUUGAACUGGCAAGACAACUUGGAAGUGUGGAAUAGUAGAUGGUUGAAUGAAUGAAUGUUUCAGAAUGAAAGCAUCUUGGAAGCAGGUGGCACAGAUCUCUAGGAUCCUUCAGCAGUGAUCACAUCUGUGUAUUUUGAUGGAAUCAUGGCCCUUUUAUUGAGAAAAGUUCCCAACUCAUCUUCUGGUUCCCAAAUAGGCAUGUGCAUCCAAUUAAUGAUUUUGAAUGCAUGAGAGAAGCUGGCCACUAUUGCAAAAUCUUAGAACUCUCAAUUUAGUUGAUGCCUUCCAUUGUGAAAGCAAUUUUAUGAAUUGACUACUGAACUGCCUGGCUCUUGCGAAAAGUGAAUUGGUGUAAUGCUUAAUUCAACAGUACCCAGUGCUCUGGGACCGACAGAGGGAGUCUUCUGUAACUGUUUGAUGGAGUAUGCGGCAAAAAGAUUCAGACAGUAGUGACUUUCACAGCCACAAACCUACAUCCUUUGAUCAGGAGGCGGUUGGGCCUUUUUUCUUUGGCCCUUCAUGGGAUGUGUACGUUGAUACCAAAGUUAGCACUUGCUGUCCAUCCUAAUUGCUGUGGGACUGAGUAGCUUGCUGGCCAUUUCAGAGGACAGUUCAGACGAAACCACAGUACAGUGGGCUUGCAAUCACGUGUUGACCAGACCAGGUCAGGAUAACAGAUUUCCUUCUCGAAAGGACAUUAGUGAAUGAGAUGAGUUUUUACAACAAUUAACAAUAAUGGGAGUCUUCAUUACUGAGAAUGACUUUUUAUUUAUUCCAGGUGUCACUUUUUCAUUGAUUGAAUUCAAAUUCCACCAGCUGCUUUAUUGGGAUUUUAAUUCAAAUCUCAAGAGAAUUGGUCUGGGCCUCUAGAUUAUUAUUUUCAGAAGCAUUACCAUUACACAAGCAUAAUCCUCCCUCCGUGCUGCACUGUUCUCCUAAAGCACAGCAGCUUGAGAUUAAUUUUGGCAUUUGCAUCCUUUGGGCUGAGUAUGGCAACAUCCAUCCACUGCCAACUCCUGCUAUGUCCUAAUAAGUAGGUCGCUGCUGCUGUUCUUCCUUCAAUGGUUUGUCUAAUUAUCACUAAUAUCAAAGUGAAAGGGAUUAGCCAAGGUGAUUAAGGCAAAUAAAUCAAAAACAAGCUCAAAGUAAUGAAAUCCAAGGCAAUUUAAGAAAAAUAGAAAAAUAUUUGUUAUCAAAAUUACGAAAGCAGCAGCCUUUUAAAUUUUGUUCAAAUUGCAUCAAUUAGUUUCUGAGGAAAUUUUCUGAAGAAUUACUGAAUAGGCUGACUGAUGAUCACAUGAGUCCCAGUGGUAUCAUGAAACACAGGUUUAAAUAUAAUUCAAAAAGAGUCUGUAUAAAUCACAAUAUGCCAUUUUCAGUCAGAAAUAGGACAGUAAGUGGAUUCCCCCAACAUUAAUUGCUCCCCACCAACCCUGAUCCCUGUCACAGUUCCAAUUGGGUUUAUAGGAUUAAAGUUAUCAGUUCAAUGCCACAUUCCCAGAACUUACAGCCCUAACUUUCUUAGCAGGAGUUCACUAACGCAAACGCAAUACUGGAACAAGUUCUUUAUUUCUGAAUUCAGAGAAUAACCUCCCAGAAAUGUGCCUGAAGUAGAUACUUGCAUUUCAUUUUUGUUAUUCUGAAUAUAUCUCUACAUGAUCAAUGCAGGUAUAAAUACAGGUAUAAAUUAACCAACUGACAAUGAAGAGUAAAAUAAAUAUUGAAUUUUGACUUAUGUUGUUCCUCAGUAUCCUAGCAACAAAGUAAAUAUCCUCAAGGAUGGCAUCUUGCUUGUCAAGUUUAAUUGUGUAGUGAUUGUAAUGAUGUCAGCCAGUUGGGCCCCAUAGAAUAUACUCCCUGAAUGGGUCUGUUAACCUGGUCCAAUCAGGGAUCCUCUGUCUGACAGAUAUAAACA